ACGCACCAAUUUUUCCUAAUUUUCUCAAAAUCAUGUAUAAUAGAGUUUAUAAUCUUUUCUUGGUUAGAUCUGGUAGUUCCUUAUUCUUCCCACUUCUCAAUUUCCAGCAAAUAUCUGAGGCUAACUUUUUUUCCCCCUCUUACUGCAGGUUAGUUCGAACAAUGGGUUACACUGUUUUUUUCCGAUAGUGCUCCUACAUGGAUACUUCAAGAUUGCUGCAGUUCCCAGCAACACUGGAGAAGGGCCUAGAGAAAAUGAUAGACUUAAAGAAUAGAUUAGGUGGCGUGAUAACUCAGUGCCACCGUUUAUACCAUUCAGCAGGACAACACCAAAGCGUUUCUAUCAGAACAUUUUUCAUGGUUGGUAGUGGCUGGUUCAUUCCAAUGAUUUUUUUUCUUGUUGCAAAAACUCCGUUGCUCCUAAUUCAGAUAGAAUUUGUUCAUGUAGUUCCGUGCCCUUCCUAAUCGUGGAUAGAUUCUAAUGGAUUUUAUAGUUUCAGAGGUGGGUGGCCAAGCUCCGCCCACGGUAGCAGCCCUGUGGCGGAGGGUUUGGAUCCUGGACGGUGGACGUCGUCCUCGCGACCACUUGCAGGGUGCUGCAGGCGCUGGGUGUCCAGCGCAGGUGCACCUCCCUCCUUCUUUUGCGAUGAUUCCGGUUGCAUGUGGUCUCCUGCACAACGUUGAACAUCUGCUCAAGCAGGAGGUGUGGCACAACGGUGGAAGAGGCAGGAACGUGCGUCUGCGGGCUUGCCUGCUUGCCAGUGCCAAACCGUGUGGAUGUCGCUUUCCAUGCAGGUGCCCUCGCUCCGGAAUUGUGCUGCGCGAUUGCCUUGUCAUGAGCACAGCCGGGCCGCAUCGAUUAGUUUGCAUCCAAGAGAAUGGCCGCUUGUCCAGUCUUCUUUGUCGCUUCCUGUACAUCUCCACAAGGUACACCAUGACUACU